UACGGAGGGUGCGAGCGUUAUCCGGAUUCACUGGGUUUAAAGGGUGCGUAGGUGGGAAUGUAAGUCAGUGGUGAAAUCUCUGAGCUUAACUCAGAAACUGCCAUUGAUACUAUGUUUCUUGAAUUUUCUGGAGGUCAGCGGAAUAUGUCAUGUAGCGGUGAAAAUGCUUAGAUAUGACAUAGAACACCAAUUGCGAAGGCAGCUGGCUACAGGGAUAUUGACACUGAGGCACGAAAGCGUGGGGAUCAAACAGG
rnacentral:rRNA from 1 species